CUUGACCUACGGGAGGCAGCAGUGGGGAAUAUUGCACAAUGGGGGAAACCCUGAUGCAGCGAUGCCGCGUGGAGGAAGAAGGUUUUCGGAUUGUAAACCUCUUUUGCCGGGGAGCAAAGUGCCGCACGUGUGCGGUUUGGAGAGUACCCGGAGAAAAAGCAUCGGCUAACUCCGUGCCAGCAGCCGCGGUAAUACGGAGGAUGCGAGCGUUAUCCGGAUUUAUUGGGUUUAAAGGGUGCGUAGGCGGACGCUUAAGUCAGCGGUAAAAUUGCGGGGCUCAACCUCGUCGAGCCGUUGAAACUGGG
rnacentral:rRNA from 1 species